AGAGUUUGAUCAUGGCUCAGGAUGAACGCUAGCGGCAGGCUUAACACAUGCAAGUCGAGGGGUAUAGGUUUUCGGACCUAGAGACCGGCGCACGGGUGCGUAACGCGUAUGCAAUCUACCUUUUACAGAGGGAUAGCCCAGAGAAAUUUGGAUUAAUACCUCAUAGUAUUAUUGAAUGGCAUCAUUUAAUAAUUAAAGUCACAACGGUAAAAGAUGAGCAUGCGUCCCAUUAGCUUGUUGGUAAGGUAACGACUUACCAAGGCAACGAUGGGUAGGGGUCCUGAGAGGGAGAUCCCCCACACUGGUACUGAGACACGGACCAGACUCCUACGGGAGGCAGCAGUGAGGAAUAUUGGUCAAUGGGCGCAAGCCUGAACCCAGCCAUGCCGCGUGCAGGAUGAAGCAUCUAUGGUGUGUAAACUGCUUUUGUACGAGAAGAAACACUCCUACGUGUAGGAGCUUGACGGUAUCGUAAGAAUAAGGACCGGCUAACUCCGUGCCAGCAGCCGCGGUAAUACGGAGGGUCCAAGCGUUAUCCGGAAUCAUUGGGUUUAAAGGGUCCGUAGGCGGUUUUGUAAGUCAGUGGUGAAAGCCCAUCGCUCAACGGUGGAACGGCCAUUGAUACUGCAAGACUUGAAUUAUUGGGAAGUAACUAGAAUAUGUAGUGUAGCGGUGAAAUGCUUAGAGAUUACAUGGAAUACCAAUUGCGAAGGCAGGUUACUAUCAAUAUAUUGACGCUGAUGGACGAAAGCGUGGGGAGCGAACAGGAUUAGAUACCCUAGUAGUCC
rnacentral:rRNA from 1 species